UUGGGAAUCUUGGACAAUGGGGGAAACCCUGAUCCAGCCAUGCCGCGUGAGUGAUGAAGGCCUUCGGGUUGUAAAACUCUUUCGACGGGGACGAUAGUGACGGUACCCGUAGAAGAAGCUCCGGCUAACUUCGUGCCAGCAGCCGCGGUAAUACGAAGGGGGCUAGCGUUGUUCGGAAUUACUGGGCGUAAAGCGCGCGCAGGCGGCUAUCCAAGUCAGUGGUGAAAGCCCGGAGCUCAACUCCGGAACUGCCAUUGAAACUGUUUAGCUUGAGGACGAGAGAGGUGAGUGGAAUUCCCAGUGUAGAGGUGAAAUUCGUAGAUAUUGGGAAGAACACCGGUGGCGAAGGCGGCUCACUGGCUCGUAUCUGACGCUCAGGCGCGACAGCGUGGGGAU
rnacentral:rRNA from 1 species